rnacentral:rRNA from 1 species
AGGUAGUGACAAUAAAUCACAAUGCGGAACAUUUGUUUUGCAAUUGGAUUGAGAACAACGCACAACACUUAUCGAUAAACAAUUGGAGGGCAAGUCUGGUGCCAGCAGCCGCGGUAAUUCCAGCUCCAAUAGCGUAUAUUAACGUUGUUGCAGUUAAAAAGCUCGUAGUUGAAGUGAAGUAUGAAACCUUAACGUUUUCAUUUGAAUUCGUUUUGGUUUGAUACUCUUUCCAAUUUGUGUGCAUGGGUAUUCAUUUAUCUGUGUAGGCAUUUGGUCAUUUACUGUGAGAAAAUUAGAGUGUUCAAAGCAUACGUUUGUUUGAAUACAUUAGCAUGGAAUAAUUCGAAAAGGCUUUCAUGUUCGAUUUGAUUGGUUUGUUCGUGAAGGCAAGAUUAAAAGGGACAGUUGGGGGUAUUCAUAUUCAAUAGUCAGAGGUGAAAUUCUCGGAUUUAUGGAAGAUGAACAAGUGCGAAAGCA